rnacentral:lncRNA from 1 species
AUUUGAGCUAACAAUUCUCUGAUCCUACUGCAUUUAUGACUUGACUAUCCAUUGGCCCACGUGGGUAUCUACAGUAGAUUGAUAGCUCUGAGAGUUCUCAUUUGACCUUGUCACUUGGUUCGGUGAUAUUACAAUAGAAGUAGAAACUUUCAGCAGCCUGUAAGUGAGAACGGAAAUUAUAUUGAGAAAUCCAGAUGUGCAGUUGUGCAAGAGCAAGCUGGUGUGGAUUUUUGAAUGGAUAUUCUGAAGACAACUAGGUGGAACUGCUUUGAGCUGCUUCUCUGAACAGCCUGUCUGGAGAUGUCCCGGGUGGCUGAAUCACUGCACCUGCUGAGUGACCAGCUGUGUGUCUUUGAGGCUCGUGCAUGUCCCAGCAAAGCUUCGCAAAGAUGUCAGUAUUAAUUGUCACCAUCCUCCAGGGAGAAAGCAACAGCCCACAAUUGCCUGCAUUUUCUUUCCUCUUCAAAACCACUUCUGCUCCAAAGACCAUGAACCUGAACUGAAGAAACGACUCCUUCCUGCUGGUGUGAGAUAAUUCAGUCUCCAUGAUGUCUUAAUCCUGGGCCUCCCUUAAUUGACUUCUAACUGUGCUGAACUGUGGCUGCUAGGAGUUGCAAUGUGGAUCGCAAUUUACAAGGAAGAGAAAAAGACCGGUCUCUGUUUGGAAAUUACAAACAUAGAAGAACUUAGAAACAAUGGGUUUCUAGAUUGGGUGGAAGGACUGGCUUGGGAUCCUGAGAGAGCAAGAAAAGUUUACCGGGAGCUUCAGAAAAAGUUAUUCAUCAUUUUUGGAGUGGAUAUUCAGAAGUGACUUCCCUCUUUUGCUCUGGCAUUGAUGCAUUCACAUCAAUGGUGAAUUCAGACUUCAGAAGAACUGACCCAAGGACAAAGGUCCACCCAGGCCAUGGAAGAGGCUCCUCAACCGUUUGGGUGCCUGGCUACUUCAAGAGUUGAGCUAAUCACAGGGAAGAUUCAGUCUCAGUUCAGCUGCCUCAUUUGAUCAGCUCAAGACUGAGUCCAACAAAAGUGGUCUGUCUAAUGAAACUCAUUUUCAUUUUUUCUCAUUAGUCUAUACACGAUUGAGACUGUAGAACGACAAAAGAAUAAAAAGAAGAAUGACAAUUAAAAAUCAUUUUCUCUGGCCCUUGAUUUUUGCCUUCUUUUUUUUAAAUGUAGUUACGUGCUCAUUUUUUGUUUCUUUUUUAUUCUCUGCUCUUCUUUUCUAUUGAUUUUCCCAUUUAUGAAGGGGGAAUUAGUAAAUCCAUGGUCUGAGUGCUGAGAUGUUCUGAUAGGCCUUCAAGUUUUCAGCUGUACUCUGAAUCAGAAUAAUAUACUCCAUCAAGGAGACUGACAUUGGCACCACCUUCCCAGAAAUCCAGGAGCGCCUUUGCAUGAGGAAAAGCAGAAGGGAGUAAAGUCAUGAAACAUUGUGUGUGUGUUUGUAUAAAACUGUAUAUUUUUGCUCACAUAUAAUAACUAUAUAUUUCUGCUAAUUUUUCCUUUUAAAGGCUAUUAAGUUACUUAAAAUCCAUUGCCUAAUAAAACUGCAAUUCACCUUUGUAAUUCACUCAUUUGUUUGCUGUCACAGGGAAGAUAGAAAUUGAGCACGUUUUCGGCUGGGUGUGGUGGCUCACGCCUGUAAUCCUAGCACUUGGGGAGGCCGAGGUGGGCGGAUCACGAGGUCAGGAGAUCGAGACCAUCCUGGCUAACAUGGUGAAACCUCGUCUCCACUA